ensembl:lncRNA
CCUAAAGUUGGUUUAGAAAAGUAAGUUGAAGUGAUUUGUUAAAGUAUAUAGGUAACUUUUGUAAUUUUAAAAAGUGACGUUGCAUCAUGUAAAGGGGCAUUUUUCUGGAUCAGACCGGUCUUCAGCAAAUCACAUUUUGGGUAUACAAUGACGGAUUUAAUCGGGAAAAAGACCCAAUUGUGAUGUUUAUGUGACAUAUAGGAGUGCCAAGAAAGAAGCUCGUCAAAGGAUCCAUGAUUGGCUGAUAUACUGGAGGGUUUGGACAUGCCGAGAGAUUCUGUAACGCUCGUCGUUGGAAUGAGGUGAGGACCAAAGCGCAGCGUGGAAAUCUGCCGUUACAUGAUCACCUUCACCUGAGAGAAACAUUGGUCAAAUCUCACCUGAUUGGGUCUGCUGGAUGAUUAGGACUUCUCCCUAAGGAUUAGCCCUCUAACUUCCCGACUCUGCGAUGAGGUCGACAGUGUGAUAGGGAAGUAUAAGCCAAU